AGGGCUGAGUGUCUGUGGCUGUUGUGGUUAUUUCUGUGGGGAACCCUGAAAAGUGGCAAACUCUCGGUGCUGUAUUGGUAUGGGGCAUGCCCCCGCCAAGGCGUAACUUCGCAGGAUGGCAUACCUGCCAUCCCAAUAGUUAAAACCGCUUAAAAGGAUCUGCCGCAAGGAAGAACGUAAGUGGAGGAAAACAAAAUUGCACAUCCAUUAUGAAAUUUUAAAAGAUAAUCUUACAAACUAUAAUCUGAUUAUCAGAACAGCCAGGCAAGCUUAUUUCUCUACAAUGAUCUCCAACAACCGGGGCAAUCCUAGAAUAUUGUUUUCCACUAUUGACCACCUGAAACUCUGCCCCCACUGAAAACUCUGAAUUACUUUUCACAUCUAAUUGUGAUGAAUUUGCCAUCUUUUUCAGAGACAAGAUUACAAACAUUAGGAUGGGUAUAUCUCCAACAAAGAACAUUGAUUGUAUUUUAAAUGCCCCUGUAUCACAAUGUAAGUAAGGUGUGGAAAUCAAGCCACAUAUGACAUUGGUUUGUGGUGAAAUGGGGGAAUUUACUGAAGAUGCUACUGCAGUUUCCGCUUUCAAAUGUACCUAAUUUAGAAGCCCUUCACAGUUUCACACUGCAUAAUGGAACCUCUGUUCAUCACCGUUCUGGCUUUCUCUGCGAUCUCAGUUUCCAGAGCUGAGGAGUCUUUGUCUCUGUUUGUGCGUAAGGGGGGCUCUGUUCAUCUGGAUGUGCAGGGACAUGGAAAACUCCAGAAUGAAACCCUGUUCUGGCGUUUUAACUCCACAACCAUACUACAAUACAUUAUCAAGUUUAAAGAUCUGACAUUUUAUAAAGAUUAUAAGAUCAGGACUGAAUUUGAUCAAAAGAACUUCACUCUGCUGCUGAAGAACGUGCAGGAGAGAGACAGUGGGAUCUACACAGCAGAGAUAAUGUGAUAAGGACAGCGAAGACAUGUUGCUUCCUACAGGCUCACAGUUCAAGAGGCCCCGCCCACACCCCAGGUGAGAGUGGCUUUACUCUCCUCUGCUGGAGGGUUCUGUAACGUGUCAGUGAACUGCU